rnacentral:rRNA from 1 species
UACAGAGGGCGCGAGCGUUAAUCGGAUUAACUGGGCGUAAAGGGCGCGUAGGCGGUUAUAUGAGUGUGAUGUGAAAGCCCUGGGCUUAACCUAGGAAGUGCAUCGCAAACGAUAUGACUGGAGUAUUGGAGAGGGUAGCGGAAUUUCCGGUGUAGCGGUGAAAUGCGUAGAGAUCGGAAGGAACGUCAAUGGCGAAGGCAGCUACCUGGCCAAAUACUGACGCUGAGGCGGCGAAAAGCGGUGGGGAGCAAACAGG